rnacentral:antisense_RNA from 1 species
UUUGGCAUUGGGCUUACGUUCAAUAAUCCCGUUACCUACCGCAUGUAAUAAAUGCGUUUUACCUAAACCGGUUCCACCGUA